CACCAAAGUCAACUUCAUUGGAAAAUGUAUGUAUGUUGUUGAUUUGAAUCCACUACAGUGAUCAUCUCAGUGCAACGUGUUCCUGUUUGAACAUUAAGUUCUGCUGUGGUUUGUGUUUAAGGUGACCUGGGACAUACAGUAAGUCUAAUAACACUACUAAUCAUUUGCUAUCAGUUAUUUAUCUGUCUGAGAUAAUGUCAGGUUCUGCUGGAUGAUGGACCCAAACGUGCAGCUCGGAGACUGAGAAACGCUUAAAGGGUUUAUUCUGACGCUCGGUCACACAGGCUGAGGUGGGUUCACAGUAAAUCACAAGGCUGGAAAGAAUAAGGAACAAGCAGGAAGUUAACAAAACAGGAAAUGGCGAGAAACGACAACUGCAAGUCUCUAUUCUUGUCAAAUGAAGAUGUUCUCUGUCUCUAAGAUCAUCCCUCCACAUUUUUGCAAAUAAGGAAAUUGGAAAGAACCUUAGGGAGUCAAUUUGUCCAGUCAUUCAUCCUAUUUCAUCCCAGCAGCACAAAAUACAGUAUAGAGCAAAUAAAUAAAGACUGACAGUGUCUUUGUUAUGAGGUUCUCCUACUGUAACACAGUCUGUGGAGGCCUGACGUGUCCUGGCUCAGUAGUCGGGAGCCAACAGGGCCUUUAUACAGUGUUCACCAUGUUAGCAGGCGUAUGAGGAAGUCCAUGAGCAUGCGUUUGAUGCCUGGGUAUGAAGGCAGCCUCAAAGGACUCCUCCUCAGGCAGCAUGGUCAGAGGUUGGUGAGAGGAUCUGGAACUGAGUGACAGCCUCUUCAGUCAGAGCUGAGGUUCCAGUCUAUAACAGGUACCAUGACCACGUUCUGUCUUAACUUUCAGACUGCGUGUGAUGAAACCUACAGUAUCGUCACCUAUGAACACAAGACUGAGUGACAACAACUGCAUCAGUGCUGAGAGAGAGCACAGCAGUCACUUCAAUAUCCAUCCAUUUUCUGUUGCACAUUUCUCUUUUUUCUUAUCAUUAAAAACAAAACAAUCAAUAAACAUGUUUGUAACAUGUUUGUUUGUAACAUGUUUGAAUGCAUAUACAAAAAUGAGCAAAAGACUGAAUGCAGCCUAAAACAUGAAUAAAGAAUAAUUCACUUCCUCA
ensembl:lncRNA